UACGUAGGGGGCUAGCGUUGUCCGGAAUCAUUGGGCGUAAAGAGCGCGUAGGCGGCUCGGUAAGUCCGCUGUAAAAGUCAAAGGCUUAACCUUUGAAUGUCAGUGGAAACUGCCGGGCUAGAGUCCGGAAGAGGCGAGUGGAAUUCCUGGUGUAGCGGUGGAAUGCGCAGAUAUCAGGAGGAACACCGAUGGCGAAGGCAGGUCUCUGGGCCACUACUGACGCUGAGAAGCGAAAGCAUGGGGAGCGAACAGG
rnacentral:rRNA from 1 species